rnacentral:rRNA from 1 species
UACGGAGGAUGCAAGCGUUAUCCGGAAUGAUUGGGCGUAAAGCGUCUGCAGGUGGCAGUUCAAGUCUGCUGUCAAAGACCGGGGCUUAACUUCGGAAAGGCAGUGGAAACUGAACAGCUAGAGUAUGGUAGGGGCAGAGGGAAUUCCUGGUGUAGCGGUGAAAUGCGUAGAGAUCAGGAAGAACAUCGGUGGCGAAGGCGCUCUGCUGGACCAUAACUGACACUCAGGGACGAAAGCUAGGGGAGCGAAUGGG